rnacentral:rRNA from 1 species
AGUGAACGCCGGCGGUAGGCCUAACACAUGCAAGUCGAACGGCAGCACAGUAAGAGCUUGCUCUUACGGGUGGCGAGUGGCGGACGGGUGAGGAAUACAUCGGAAUCUACUUUUUCGUGGGGGAUAACGUAGGGAAACUUACGCUAAUACCGCAUACGACCUACGGGUGAAAGCAGGGGAUCUUCGGACCUUGCGCGAUUGAAUGAGCCGAUGUCGGAUUAGCUAGUUGGCGGGGUAAAGGCCCACCAAGGCGACGAUCCGUAGCUGGUCUGAGAGGAUGAUCAGCCACACUGGAACUGAAACACGGUCCAGACUCCUACGGGAGGCAGCAGUGGGGAAUAUUGGACAAUGGGCGCAAGCCUGAUCCAGCCAUACCGCGUGGGUGAAGAAGGCCUUCGGGUUGUAAAGCCCUUUUGUUGGGAAAGAAAAGCAGCAGGUUAAUACCCCGCUGUUCUGACGGUACCCAAAGAAUAAGCACCGGCUAACUUCGUG